rnacentral:snRNA from 1 species
GUUCGAAUUGUAGUCUGG